rnacentral:pre_miRNA from 1 species
UCUGAUGGAUGAGCAAAGAAAGUGGUUUCUUGAGAUGGAACGUACCCCUGUGAAGAUGCUGUGAA